CCUACGGGGGGCAGCAGUUAGGAAUUUUGGGCAAUGGCCGCAAGGCUGACCCAGCAACGCCGCGUGGGGGACGAAGGCUCUCGGGUUGUAAACCCCUUUUCUCGGGGACGAUGAUGACGGUACCCGAGGAAGAAGCCCCGGCUAACUACGUGCCAGCAGCCGCGGUAAUACGUAGGGGGCGAGCGUUGUCCGGAUUUAUUGGGCGUAAAGCGCGCGUAGGCGGUGUCGCAAGUCGGCCGUGAAAUCUCCAGGCUCAACUUGGAGGGGUCGGGCGAGACUGCGGCGCUGGAGGCAGGCAGAGGGCGGUGGAAUUCCGGGUGUAGUGGUGGAAUGCGUAGAGAUCCGGAGGAACACCAGUGGCGAAGGCGGCCGCCUGGGCCUGACCUGACGCUGAGGCGCGAAAGCGUGGGGAGCGAUCCGGAUUAGAUACCCUUGUAGUC
rnacentral:rRNA from 1 species